GAUGAACGCUAGCGGCAGGCCUAACACAUGCAAGUCGAGGGGCAGCAUAAAUAAAGCUUGCUUUAUUGGUGGCGACCGGCGCACGGGUGAGUAACGCGUAUGCAACCUACCCUGUACUGGGGGAUAACCCGGAGAAAUUCGGACUAAUACCCCAUAAUGUUAAUUGAUGGCAUCAUUGAUUGAUUAAAGGUUACGGUACAGGAUGGGCAUGCGUUCCAUUAGCUAGUUGGUAUGGUAACGGCAUACCAAGGCGACGAUGGAUAGGGGGCCUGAGAGGGUGAUCCCCCANACUGGUACUGAGACACGGACCAGACUCCUACGGGAGGCAGCAGUGAGGAAUAUUGGUCAAUGGAGGCAACUCUGAACCGGCCAUGCCGCGUGCAGGAAGACGGUCCUAUGGAUUGUAAACUGCUUUUAUUAGGAAUAAACCCCCGGUCGUGCACCGGGGCUGAAUGUACUAAAAGAAUAAGCACCGGCUAACUCCGUGCCAGCAGCCGCGGUAAAGUA
rnacentral:rRNA from 1 species